GCAAUUGGAACGGAAGGUCGACGGACAGCCGCUGAGUGAUGGAGGUUUCGGGAUUCCGUUAAGCCUCGUUGGUAAGGAGACCAGUACCGGUCCGAAUAGGGCGGUACUGACCGGUACUACAGAAAGCACGGCUACUACGGUGCCAGCAGCGCCGGUAUACGUAGGUGGCAGCGUGUCCGGAAUUAUUGGGCGGUAAAGGGGCUCGCAGGCGGUUUUCUUAAGUCUGAUGUGAAAGCCCCCCGGGCUCACCCGGGGAGGGUCAUUGGAAACUGGGGAACUUGAGUGCAGAAGAGGAGAGUGGAAUUUCCACGUGUAGCGGUGAAAUGCGUAGAGAUGUGGAGGAACACCAGUGGCGAAGGCGACUCUCUGGUCUGUAACUGACGCUGAGGAGCGAAAGCGUGGGGAGCGAACAGGAUUAGAUACCCUGGUAGUCCACGCCGUAAACGAUGAGUGCUAAGUGUUAGGGGGUUUCCGCCCCUUAGUGCUGCAGCUAACGCAUUAAGCACUCCGCCUGGGGAGUACGGUCGCAAGACUGAAACUCAAAGGAAUUGACGGGGGCCCGCACAAGCGGUGGAGCAUGUGGUUUAAUUCGAAGCAACGCGAAGAACCUUACCAGGUCUUGACAUCCUCUGACAAUCCUAGAGAUAGGACGUCCCCUUCGGGGGCAGAGUGACAGGUGGUGCAUGGUUGUCGUCAGCUCGUGUCGUGAGAUGUUGGGUUAAGUCCCGCAACGAGCGCAACCCUUGAUCUUAGUUGCCAGCAUUCAGUUGGGCACUCUAAGGUGACUGCCGGUGACAAACCGGAGGAAGGUGGGGAUGACGUCAAAUCAUCAUGCCCCUUAUGACCUGGGCUACACACGUGCUACAAUGGACAGAACAAAGGGCAGCGAAACCGCGAGGUUAAGCCAAUCCCACAAAUCUGUUCUCAGUUCGGAUCGCAGUCUGCAACUCGACUGCGUGAAGCUGGAAUCUCUAGUAAUCGCGGAUCAGCAUGCCGCGGUGAAUACGUUCCCGGGCCUUGUACACACCGCCCGUCACACCACGAGAGUUUGUAACACCCGAAGUCGGUGAGGUAACCUUCUAGGAGCCAGCCGCCGAAGGUGGAUCCAGAGGG
rnacentral:rRNA from 1 species